AGCUAGGUAUAAUUAAGUGCUUAAUAAGUCACUUAUUGUGAGGUCUAGAUUUCAAAUAAUGAGUCACUACAAUACCUACCAACCUCAAGGAGCAUAUCCACCACCGAGCCAGCAGGCGCAUCCUCCUCCUCCACCACCACAGUAUUCCUAUCCACCACCAGGUCAAGGGUAUCAUCAAGGUCCUUAUGUUGCACCACCUGCAGCUAGUCACCCUAUGAAUAACGGUGCUCAACAGCCACCACCUCCUGAAAAAAAGAAGCAUAAAUGUUGGCGUCGUUGUCUGUGUUGUUGUCUGGAUUGUUGCUGCGAGUGCUUCUCCAGUAUUUGAUUUGAUGAGUGUGAGUCAUCAUUACUCAAUCACAUCUCUGGGAAUUCUUGUGGAAAAUGGACCUAAUUUGUUUAGUAUCCAUUUACGUAAUAUAUUAUAUUUUUCAUGUAAUGUGACUUUUAAUUAUUUCAAUUAAAUAUGCAACAAUAAUGGUGUUUUUCUUUCAAA